rnacentral:rRNA from 1 species
CUCCUACGGGAGGCAGCAGUAGGGAAUCUUCCACAAUGGACGAAAGUCUGAUGGAGCAACGCCGCGUGAGUGAAGAAGGGUUUCGGCUCGUAAAGCUCUGUUGGUAGUGGAGAAAGAUAGAGGUAGUAACUGGCCUUUAUUUGACGGUAAUUACUUAGAAAGUCGCGGCUAACUACGUGCCAGCAGCCGCGGUAAUACGUAGGUGGCAAGCGUUGUCCGGAUUUAUUGGGCGUAAAGCGAGUGCAGGCGGUUCAAUAAGUCUGAUGUUAAAGCCUUUGGCUCAACCGGAGAAGUGCAUCCGAAAC